CCUCCCAGGGCAGGCGUGGCGUGCUGCCUCCUGAGAGGCUCAGAUUGAGCCUGGAGGUGGAGUAAGAGCGACGGCCUUUCUGUGCCGAGGGGUGUAGGCGGUGGGGCUGCUUGUCCUCUCCCACACCGUCUUCCCCCCCCCCUCACCCGCCGCCGUCAAUGAGAGCCGGGGUAAGAUGCGGCUGCCGCCAGGGACUGGGAGGCCGCGAUGGAGAGGGGGAGGGAGGAAGCGGCUGAAGAUGUAGGGGCAGGAGGAGGAGGAGGAGGAGGAGGAGGAGGAGGGAGGCAGCCCGAGUCUCUCAGGAUGUCGGAGAGCGGCGGGGGCCUGAAGACGGUGCGGGUCUGGAGGGAGGCGGCUCGCCGCUGCCGCAAACUCCACGGGAACUGGCGCCAGCUGAGCCAGAGCGGCCCGCGGCUCAGCCUGCCUUCGGACAUCGGCCGCGUCCAAGUGCUCAACCUGGCCAACAACUCGCUGCUCGAGCUGCCCGACGGCCUCGACUCCUCUCUGUCCGAGCUGCGGGCGCUGAUCCUGCGGAGGAACCGCCUGAGGCGCCUGCCGUCCCGGCUCUGCGGUCUGCCGCUGCUCGACGAGCUCGACCUGGCUCACAACUUGCUGUCGGGGCUGCCGGCCGAGCUGGGGGGCCUGGGCCGCCUCCGCCGCCUGUGCCUGAGCCACAACAAGCUGCAGCAGCUGCCGGCCGAGCUCGGCGGCCUGUCCGCCCUCGAGGAGCUCGACGUCAGCUUCAACGAGCUGCGCCAGCUGCCGGCCAGCCUGGGCCUACUGGCCAGGCUCCGCGCCCUGGACGUCGACCACAACCGCCUGAGCCACUUCCCGCUUCAGAUCCUGCAGCUGGCCGAGCUGGAGGAGCUGGAUUUCUCCGGGAACCAGAUCCGGGCCUUGCCCCGGGACAUCCCGAGGCUGCGCUCCGUCAAGAUCCUGUGGCUGAGCAGCCUCCGCCUGUCGUGCCUGCCCGACACCUUCUGCGGCCUGGCCGCCCUCGAGAGCCUCAUGCUGGACAACAACAGCCUGCGGGCGCUGCCCGAGCGCUUCGGCGAGCUCGGCCGCCUCAAGAUGAUCAACCUGUCGUCGAACCGCUUCGAGGAGUUCCCCGCCGCCCUGCUGCAACUCACCGGCCUGGAGGAGCUCUACCUCAGCCGCAACGAGCUGUCCGUCAUCCCGGCCGGCAUCGCCGCCAUCAGCAACCUGGCCGCCCUGUGGCUCGACAACAACAAGGUGCGCUACCUGCCCGACUCCAUCGUGGAGCUCGCCCACCUCGAGGAGCUGGUGCUGCAGGGCAACCAGAUCGCCAUCCUGCCCGACUCCUUCGGCAGGCUCUCCAAAGUCAGCCUCUGGAAGGUCAAGGACAACCCCUUGAUCCAGCCGCCCUACGAGGUCUGCAUGAAAGGCAUCCCCUACAUCGCGGCCUACCAGAAGGAGCUGGCGCUCUCGCAGCCCGCCGUCAAACCCAGGCUCAAGUUGGUGCUGAUGGGCUCCAAAGGCGCCGGCAAGACCUCCCUCAGGCAGUGCUUGGUUGGAAACGCACCGGGUACCCCUGCACCUCACGCCAAGGGCAUCGAGGUGACCCAGUGGGUGGCGGAUGCUGAGAAAAACCUCACCUUUAUUGUCUACGAUUUGGCUGGGGACCAGAACUACGACCUUAUCCAGCCCUUCUUUCUCUCCCCGGGCGCUCUCUACGUGCUGGUGGUCAGCCUGAAAGCCUAUGCCCCCCAUCGGUUCUACGAACUGGUCGGGUACUUCUUGCACUUGCUCGGUGCCAGGGUCCCUCACGGGGUCGUAUGUGUGGUGGGAGCACAUGUGGACCAGUGCAAUGACAAAGAGGUGGAGGAAAAAUGCCUGGACAUCCAUCAUCAGAUCGCACUCCAGGAAAAGCGAGAUGUUGAGUCCAUGCAGGCUGUGGCAGAGAAGGUGGAUGGGGCACUGGGGCAAGGGCUUGAGCUGCGAGCUACAAGUCCACAUGCACCCUUUUAUGGAGUCUCUGAUAAAAAUUUGAGGAGGAAGAAGGCCCAAGUGCAGUACCUAUUGAACAACCGUCUUCAGAUCCUGUCCCCAGUUAUCACAGUCAGCUGUCAGGGGGACCAUGUUGGAAUAAAUCGCUUGAAGGAGAAACUGCUUUCUGUGGCUGAACAUCGAGAGAUUUUUCCGAAUCUGCACAGAGUCUUACCUAAAUCCUGGCAAAGGUUGGAGGAACUGCAUUAUAAACCUCAAGAACUCUGGCUUUCCUGGUGGGACUCUGCCAGGCUGGGAUUACAAGCUGGUCUUACUGAGGACCGACUCCAAAGCGCCCUGUCCUACCUGCACGAAAGUGGCAAGCUGCUGUAUUUUGAGGAUAGUCUGACUCUCAAAGAGUGUGUCUUUCAUAACUUGACCAAGCUGAUCGACAUCUUGAAUGUCUUCUUCCAGCGCGAUGCCUCAGUUCUGCUCCAGAAACUCCUGGCAGAUGCCAAUAUUGAUGAGCUGAGGGCAACACAACUCCACCAUUAUGUGGAGGGAUUCCUGCUUCAUGGACUGCUUCCUCUGCACAUUAUUCGACUGCUUCUCAAGCCACACAUCAAAACUCAACAGGAUCUUCAUUUGAUUCUGGAACUACUGGAGAAGAUGGGACUCUGUUACUGCCUCAACAAACCUAAAAUUACCCCUAUAAAUGGUGUACCCAUUUGGUUUAAAUUCCCCUGUUAUGUGAAAAAUGAAGUUCCUCAUGCAGAAGCCUGGAUUAAUGGGUCCAACCUUUCUGGACAACAGUUAGCAAUUGAACAGCUCCAGGUGGAAUACAGUUUCCCUUUUUUGUUCCCACCAGGCCUAUUUGCCAGAUAUAGUGUACAGAUCAACACUCACAUUGUACACCGGUCAGAUGGCAAGUACCAGAUCUUUGCUUACAGGGGCAAGGUUCCAGUGGUGAUCAGUUACAGACCAACCCAAAGUAGUCUGCAAGCAGACACCUUAUCUAUUGCUAGUCAUGCUUCUUUGCCAAAUAUUUGGACUGCGUGGCAAGCCAUAAUUCCUCUGAUGGAAGAACUGAAUGUACUCCUCCAGGAGUGGCCGGGGUUAUACUUCACUGUGCAUGUCCUGUGCUCUAAGUGCCUUAAAAGAGGGUCCUCAAAUCCUCACACCUUUCCGGGGGAAUUACUGACCCAGCCCAGACCAGAAGGAGUAACUGAGAUCGUCUGUCCCAAAAAUGGGAGCGAGCGAGUGGAUGUGGCUUUGGUUUAUCCUCCGACCCCCACUGUGAUCAGUCCCUGCUGUAAGUGAGCAGUGGGCCAUCCUGCUAGUCUUCAUCAGAAACAAAACCUUUAAAAUUCUGUUCAAUUAUUUGGCAGGCAACAAGGUUUUGGAAAGAAUAAGGUUGAUAUUGAGCUGAAGUGUUUGUGACCGGUCGUGGAAUGUUUAUUUGGAUAUGCGGAAGAAAAGGGCUAACCUGCAGAUGCUCUUCGACAGUGGAUUCGUAGCAGUUCCAUGAUGGCACAGGACAUUGAAGAUAUUGUACAUGAAUGAAUGAAUGAAUGAAUAAUUGUCCGCACACAGCGCAGAGGGAGGCUCUCCCGUCCGCUCAAAGUUGUCCUUCCUUGGAUUUUCAUCAUUUGGAAGCAAACUGACCGAUACACCCAUUCUUCCAACAAAUAGUGCAGACACGGUGUUCCACGACUUAUUUUUUUGGAAUAGGUGGCUCUUCAGGGAUUUUCUUUUGCAGUGUUUUACUAAAGCCAUACUUUCAGUGUUGUCAAUCGGAAUAAAAUGCCAAAUGCAGCUGUUCUGCCCUCGAGUCUGAGGCACAGAUGAUCUGGAGUCUGUAAGCAUAUCAGCACUAUUUUUGAUUUUUAAACCCAAUGAACGAUUUAAUUUUAAAGCUUUUGAGGAAUCGGUUGUGCAAUACUCAGUGUGAUAAAGCAGUUGUACUCACAUUGUGUUAUAGGCAUCAUCCUCCUUGUUAAUAGUUGGGCAAGGCCCCAGUUGUUCCUGAUCUGAUUCAUCACGUUUCCCAAUAUGCAGGGGAAUGGGUUAAAGCUGCAAGGUCCCAUUGUUUCCAAUUAUUCGUUCAGGAUUAUUCGUUAAAGUGGAAUCCUAGUAAACAAGUGACAUUUGGAGGAUGCAUUUUCUUGACAAAAUAUGUCUUAAAUGACACAACAUCUGCAUUAUUCUUUCUUCCUAUCUGUACUGUAUCGAAGUAUGUUUUCCCUUCUCUGUGGGAACUCCCUCAUCCUUGGGUUAGUACAUUGUGAAUUCAAAUCCUACUCUAGACCUUAAGCUAGUAAUCCAGGCUGACACUUCAGUAUAGCACCAAGGGAGUAUCAUACUGUUAACAUUUUUGUCUUUCGGGUGAGAUGUUAAAAUACAAACCCCAUCUGCCCUCUUAUUGAGGAAAAAUCCAAAAACAUUGGAGAAAUGCAAGGGAGUUCUCCUGUUCUGGACAGCAUUCGUCCCGUAACGAACAUCACCAAAGAAACAUUAACCUGUUAUUCUUCCAAUUGCUGUUUGUUGGGUCUUGCUGUAUGAGAACUGUUGACUGUUUUUGUACAUAACAGUGACUACAUUUCAAAAAGUAUUCAAUGGAAUAUGAACCAUUGGGGGCAUUCUAAGAGCAUGAUAAGGCAGUUUAUUAGGACAAGUACUUUCUGCUGCAAAGGGCUUUUCAAAGUUGUGCACCGCCUACAAAACAUUUUUGUUAAAUUAACACAUCUGAAGAAAAGAAGUAAAAUCAGUGCAGCUUACAAAUAUUUUUAUUUCUUAUGUAUUGCUAAUAAAAUGUCCAUUGCAAUGGGACUGAAACAUUUGCACAUCAAGUCACCUUGGAGAAAUGACACUUAUUAAAAAAAAUCAAUGGAAACUUUUCUGCUUCAAUUUUAUGAUUGCUGCUAGACAGGCCCAGAAUGAUGUACAAGGAUUGAAUGAAGUUCAUAAGUUUGCCUGUGCUGUAGAAAGUUGUUUUGGUAAACAUUGUUUUAAAUAUUUAUUCCAGGGUAUAAUGAGACUGUCAAAGCUAUAUUUGUUACCCAUCCCUCGUUACCUUAAAGUAUCACUUUUACAACUAAGGUGUAUGUAAGACCACGUAACAGAUCAUUGUAGCUGAUCUUGUAUAGACAGAUGGAGUAACAUCAGUGAACCAGUUCGUUGUUUUUUUUUUAAAACAAUACAACAGGAGGUAAUUUCUUUUAUCCUCCAAUCCCACCCUUUGAAUCCUCGAUGCAUUAAAUUGAAUUUCCCCCUCCUCCCCCUUUUUAAUGAAUGAUCAGUCAAAGGAUUAUGCUGUGGCAUAUUCUCCUCUGAAGGUUUCACUUGGGAGUUUUGAUAUCAAGUUGGAGUCCUGGGAGAAGCUUGUGCACGAUAGCUGCACCUGGUGCAACCAAAUAGAAGUGCAAUGGCCUCCUUUGAAAAGUGCAUAUCAGAUUGACAGGGAAAACACAAGGAGGGUAAAUUCCAGUCAGCUGUGGUAUGCUGUGCUAUUUGAAAUAGAACCUUCCAGACACAUUGGCCUAAGCAGUAACCCAUGAACCCAGUAGCUCCCCACCAGUUUUGGGCAGUGAACAUGAACAUGGUCAUCUUCGCCUCAAAGGAGAAACAGGAAACUAAAUUCAAGUAUCUGUCUUAACUUAGCCUUAACUGUAUGCUGAGCAUCACUAUCUCUCUGUGGUAGAGAUUUCUGAAAGUUCAUAACCCUUUAUGUAUUGGAAUUUCUCCUUUCAUCUCCGUCUUAGACGGCCUUUCCCUUAAUCGGAGACUGAGCCAUAAUGUUAAACUCCCCAGGAGAAUCACUGUUGAACCUUAAUGCAGUCUUUCUAAGGAAAAUACGUCCUUCUUCUGGUAAGGAACCCAAAAUUGUACACAGUAUUCCAAAUGUGGCUGUAGCAAGGCUCCAAAAUAGUGAACCAGAACUUUUUUACUUGUACUCCCAAUUUGUUUGUAGUAAGGAUUAGCAUACCAUUUGUUCUUAGUUUUCUGUGUUUAACCUGCAUAUGAAUGUAUGUGAUUUAUGUAUGAGAACACCCAGGUCCUUGUGAAUGCCAAUAUUUCCCUGACACUCUCCACUUAAAAUGUUCUGCUUUUCUAUAUUUUCUGCCAGUGUGGAUGCCUUCACAUUAUGCUGUAUUGGCCAAGUUCUUCCACACUCCCUUAUCUAAAUCGCUUUACUGUCUCUCUGUAUCCUUUGCACAGCUUAUUUUCCUAUUGCCAUAUAUCUUCAAACUUGGAUAUGUUAUACUCUCCCACCUUAUUUAUAUCAUUGUUAGAAAUUGAACAUUGCUGAAGCCUAAGCACUGAGCCUUGCAGUAAACCACCACCACCUAGAUGCAAUCACAAACUGACCUGCUGUUUGGACAGUUAUGUGUUUAAACUACUCCUCUAUCUCUCAAAGUUUGUUUUUAUGUAAUAGCCCUUGUGUGGCAUCUUACUGAAUUUUUUUUUUGAGAAUCCAAAACCCUUGGUUCGCACCUCCCCUAUCCAUCCUACUGGUUGCAUCAUAAACUCUUAACAGAGCUGUGAAACCCUAUUCCCCUUUCAGCAAUUAGUACUGACUGUAUCUAAUCAGGGCAUGGUUUUCUAAGUGCCCUUAUAACAGAUUCUAGCAAUUUCCCUGUUACUGAGGUCAAGCUAAGUAGCUUUUAAUUUCCUGUGUUUUCUCUCUUUCUUGAACAGCUAGGUUACCUUCUAAACUCUAAGACAUAGGGAAUUCUGGAAGAUCAAAACCAAUGCAUCCACUAGCUCUGUAGCCACUUCUUUUAAAAUUCCGCAGUGUUGUUUAUCAGGUCCAAAGAAUUUGUUUGCUUAACUUCUCCUGUACUGUUUCUUCACCAAUGUGUUCUUCACUUGCUUUAGAGUCUUGGAUUCCCUUACCUCUUGGAUGCUUUUUGUGCUGUAUAUCAUAUUAGGGGAGAAUGAAGGGAGUUUUGUAUAUUUUUAGUCUCCUUACUUGAUAUUGCAGUUGCUUUCAUAGAAUGUUAACAGCCUGGAAAAAGGCACCAGUCAUCAAGCAUCUAAUUAUUCAAAUCCAAUUUUCAAGCACUUUACCUGUAGCCUUAUAUGCUGUGGCGUUCUGAGUGCUCAUUCAAAUAUCUUGAGGGUUUCUGUCUCUACCACCUUUUUAGGCAAUACGUUCCAGAUACCCACAACCUUCUGUAUAAAAAAAAAGCUUUUCCUCAAAUCUUCUCUAAAUCUCUUACUCCUCACUUUAAACUGUGCCCCCCUGGUUAUUGAACAUUUCUACUAAUAGAAAUAGUUUCUUUGUUACUCCCUGUCCACCCUAUCUAUGCUCCUCAUGACUUUGUACAAUUCAAUCAGGUUCCAUUCUCUGCUCUAAGGAAAACAACCCCAGUCUUACCUGGUCUCUCCUAGCUGAAUCUCUUUGACCCAGGCAACAUCCUGGUGAAUCUCCUCUGCACCCUGUCUAGUGUAAUCACAUCCUUGCAAUAGAGUCAUUUAGUUGAUCGUUUGUCAUAUGAGAUGGUUGACUCUUCAUGAAGUGGUCGGCAGUAUCAGCAAAUCUUCAUGAAUGCGCAUGGCUGUGUCUUCCCAACAAGCAGCUGAUUCCAUCCCCUUUGAGUGGUAGCUCUACAUAGAGCUUGCCUGUCUAUAACUCGAUCAAGGCUGGCAAUAAACUGUUUCAUGAGCAAUUGUUUUCAUUUUCACUUUGUGGGACUUUUUAAUUCAACUUCAGGAUGAGAAGAUCAUUGGCAAGGCCAACAAUUAUUGUCCUUUUCAGGAAUUGCCCUCCGAAGGUGAUGGUGGCUGCCUCUUUGAAUCCCUAGCAGAGACUUGAUACAACUGAGCUGUUGGCUGAACCGGCCACUUCCAAGAACUGUUAAGAGGUUGUCAAAUUGGUGAAGGACUGUGAUAGAGUUAGGAGCCACGUGUAAACCAGACCAGCGAAGGGCAGCGAGUUUCUUGUACAAAAGGACGUCAGUGAGUCAGUUAAGCUCUGAUUUAUUCACCACUAGUUACUUAAUCCAGGCCUUAACAUUUAUUAGUCCAAGUUCGUGGCAAAGGUGCAUUCCUGUAUUGAAGUUGAAAUCUCCCCCACCUUAUGAUGCUCCAUUUCUUUCAGCAAUGGACCUUUUUGCCACUUCUCCACCAGACAUGUUCACCAUGGUUCUAGAUUUAAACAUAUAGUUGGAGACAACCCUUCUACUGUGCGACAAUUGGAAACAAUUUCUUGUUCCAGAUAUUUCCUGUUUUUUGACACUGACCAUUCAGUCCCAUUUAUCUUUAAUGGGUUCUGGACCUUUAUCUCCUUAUAGAUGCUGCCUGACCUGACAAAGAUUUUCUGUUUUUAUCUUAAUGGUUUCUGAUUUUUUUUUUUCUUCCAGCUAAUACAAACAGCCAUUAACCAAAUCAGAGAAUCUUACAACGCAGAAAGAAGCGGUUCAGCCCAUCAUCCCUCUGCCAGCUGUUUGAAAGAGCUAUCCAGUUAAUCCCACCCCUGCUCUGUGGUCCUGUAAAUGUUUACUUUUCAAGUUGCUUCUUAAUUAUUGCACCUACACUGUUAUAAUAAAUUAAUUAAUGUUGGUGAACUUAGCACUCGCUUUUGCCUGUACCUACUUGAACUUUAGUACCACCAACUUCUUGACCCUGCACUAGCAUGCUUUUGACUCUGAAGUAAGUACUUCUCCUUAAUUUUCUAAAGUAUAACUCUAAUGUGGGGGAAGGAAAAAUACAUUUUGAUAAGGUCCUGCUACUAGAGCUGCAGCUGGGGCAACCCUGCUUCACGGAAGCAUAUUCCAAUUAAGAAUCGUGGCCCGACCCUGGAGUUGCCAGCCCAGUCAAAGCUUGGACUCCCUCAGCAGCGCCAUCAGAAGCAGUGGCCAGUGCUGAUACUGCAGCUGCAGUAGAGGGUGCCUCAGUGGCUUGCGCCCUCUAAAAGGAGUAAGUAGUGUUGGAAUGACACUGAGCAAAAUACCUGCCCUGUUGUGACAUAGGCUUUAAUUGGCCACUUAAUUACUUCAGUUGGGUUCCUGCUGGCCAGGUGAUCUGCUGACUGUUGUACUGUUGGGAAAAUAACACAGCAGUGGGAAGAUAUUGAUUGUUUCCCCAACCUCCACAACACCUACCUGUACCAUUAGUCCAGCCUUCCUACCUGCCAAUAAUGUUGGGUAAGGUAGUUGUUCUGAAGGAGUUAAUUUGCAUUAGCCAUCCAAUCUGAUCACGUCACAAUCUUCAGGUGGAGACAGGGAGUUCCACCUUAACUUUUGUCAGGAAUAAAUGUUUUCUGUACAGCUGCCUGUGAGUCCUUCAUAAUUAUGCCUGACUAGUAAUGUAGUUGUAUUAAUUGUUAUCAUGCAAUAAACUCUUGUUAACUAAAA